rnacentral:lncRNA from 10 species
GGAACAUCUGCCUUUCCUGGUGACACCCUCUGCCCUGCAGUCUUCAUUUUCCCUGGAUAGCCCAGCGUCAUUUAAAUACUCAGAAGCCUCUCUGCCUUUCUAUGCUGUUGUCUGCAAAGAGAUGAACGGACCUGUGCAGACGGCUGGCCAGUGACGCCGGGAUCUCUAGGUCCUUCCAAAGUGCCUACGGAAAGCUUUGUCCCAUCCUUGAAAAAUUGCUAAUGGGUUUGGAGAUACGAGGUGGAGAUGACUAGCAAUCAAACUCAAAGGUGGAAGUCACAUCGAGGCAGAUGAGCAGAUGAGGGGACCUAGAGAAGAAGAGAGGUGCAAGGAGAGCCCAGCCAGCAGGAACAUCUGCCCCAGUAGGCAGCACUGCCCCACAUCAGAGUCGAGGAAAGCAAAGCUCGGAUUGGAUAAAAGAAACUUGCAAACACGGUCAGUGCUUACUGCAUGUGGGCUCAGAGCACGUUACCCUCCUUCCCUGCAUGUUCCUGUGAAACGGGUUUACUGCUCUAACUCUCAGGGACACUGUGAAGACCAAACGAGAAAAUAGAAACAAACAUAAUUUAUAAACCAUAAAGUACUGACACCAAAAGAGGGGCGAGCACAGCAUUGUGAAUGUGCUGGUACUAAAUGGUUUGUUUUAAGAUGAUUUUAUGGUGUGUGAAUUUCACUUGAAUAAAUUUUUUUAAUGGAGUUCAUGGGGACGCUGCAGGAUGUCAAUUAACUUUGGACAUUUUAGCAGCGCUUUAGGUGUUAAAAUUAUUUUUUAAAAAAUACAGGAUGAAGGGAAAAGCUUCAUGACAUUGGAUUUGGCAGUGAUUCCUUGGAUAUGACCCCAAAAGCACAGAUAACGAAAGAAAAAAUAGUUAAAUUGUCUUCAUCAAAAUUAAAACUUUUGUACAUCAAAGAACUCUUUCAAAAGAGUGAAAAAGUCACAGAAUAAGAGAAAAUCAUAUACCUGAUAAAGAAUUAAUAUUCAGAGCCAGAUGCAGUGGCUCAUGCCUGUAAUCCCAGCACUUUGGGAGGCCAAGGCAGGCAGAUCACUUGAGAUCAGGAGUUCGAGACAAGCCUGGCUAAAAUGGUGAAACCCCAGCUCUACUAAAAAUACAAAAAUUAGCCAGGCGUGGUGGCGUGCACCUGGAAUCCCAGCUAUUCGGGAGGCUGAGGCAGGAGAAUCGCUUGAACUCAGAAGGCAGAGGUUGCAGUGAGCCAAGAUCACACCACUGCACUCCAGCCUGGGCGACAAAGUGAGACUCCAUCUCAAAAAAACAAAACAAAACAAAACAAAACAAAGAGUUACUAUUCAGAAUAUAUUAAGAAUUCCUACAACUCAACAACAAAAAAAAAUCCAACCCAAUUAAAAAAUGGGCAACAGACCCAAAUAGACAUUUCUUAGAAGACACACAAAUGGCCAAUAAGCUCAUGAAAACAUGUUUAACAUCACUAAUCAUUAGGGAAAUGCAAAUCAAAGCUAAAAUGAGAUACCACGUCACACUCAUUAGGUGUUAUUUUUUAAAAAUAACACAACAACAAAAAAUAAGAAAUGUGGGCGAGGAUGUGAAGAAAUUGAAACCCUUGUGGACUGUUGUUGGGGAUGUAAAAUGGCGCAGCUGCUGGGGAAAACAGUAUGGGAGUUCCUCACAAAACUAAACAGAAUUGCCAAACGACCCAGCGAUCCUGCCUCUGACAUAUACUGGAAAGAACUGAAAUAAGGCGCUGGAACAGACACUUGUAACCCAUGUUCACAGCUGAGCCAAAAGGUGGGAGUAACCCAAAUGUCCAUCAGUGGAUGAAUACUGGCAAUAAAAGCUGUGUCUGGAGGCCACUCCGUUUCACACAGCUCUCCACACGGGUGAGGGCACAGCCUUCUCGUCUCUUUCCUAUGCUGCAUCUUCAGAGCUAGCUAUGAUAUGAUAUGAUGUGAUAUGUACAUAUCGAAUAUACAUGUUUUACAUGCAAAUGCAACCAGUUUAUUGAGGGCUUGAUGGGGGAUAUGGGAGUUGCGGGGGAGAAUGGUCUUGU